rnacentral:rRNA from 1 species
GACGAACGCUGGCGGCGUGCUUAACACAUGCAAGUCGAACGGAAAGGCCCUGCUUUUUUGGGGUGCUCGAGUUGCGAACGGGUGAGUAACACGUGAGUAACCUGCCCUUGACUUUGGUAUAACUUCACGAAACUGGAGCUAAUACCAUAUAGGAUCUCCUGCUUCAUUGUGGGGGUUGGACAGUUUCGGCGGUUGGGGAUGGACUCGCGGCUUAUCAGCUUGUUGGUGGGGUAGUGGCUUACCAGGGCUUGGAAGGGUAGCCGGCCUGAGAGGGUGACCGGCACCAUUGGGACUGAGAUACGGGCCAGACUCCUACGGGAGGCAGCAGUGGGGAAUAUUGUACAACGGGCGGAAGCCGGAUGCAGCAACGCCGCGUGCGGGAUGACGGCCUUCGGGUUGUAAACCGCUUUCGCCUGUGACGAAGCGUGAGUGACGGUAAUGGGUAAAGAAGCACCGGCUAACUACGUG